rnacentral:tRNA from 1 species
CGGGGUGUAGUGUACCGGUAACACGCUCGGUUCGGGAUCGAGAGACACUGGGUCCAAUUCCCAGCACCCCGA